UACGUAGGGUGCGAGCGUUGUCCGGAAUUAUUGGGCGUAAAGAGCUCGUAGGCGGUCUGUCGCGUCUGCCGUGAAAGUCCGGGGCUCAACUCCGGAUCUGCGGUGGGUACGGGCAGACUAGAGUGAUGUAGGGGAGACUGGAAUUCCUGGUGUAGCGGUGAAAUGCGCAGAUAUCAGGAGGAACACCGAUGGCGAAGGCAGGUCUCUGGGCAUUAACUGACGCUGAGGAGCGAAAGCAUGGGGAGCGAACAGG
rnacentral:rRNA from 1 species